ensembl:lncRNA
GUCAUUACAGUCACAGAUUGCUGAUCAUUGAACAGCGAAUUGACCAGCAGGUGUUGUUUUCAGACUUCAGUGUUUCACGAAGCCUCGCUUAGCUUAUCACUAGUUUUCUUCACCAUGUUAAUGCUGUGCUACUCCCACACCAAGCUCACCCGUAUUAACUCAAUAGUACUUACAUACAAAUAAGUUAAGACAUGAUAAAUAAUUAAAUAUCCCAGAAUAAAUCACUUUGAUUCUUCGAUGAGCCUCGGUAACUGAAGUUGUAAAACUUAUAUAUAACGGAAGCCCGACUUGUUUUACGCUUGCGUGAAAAGAGCGCUUUCCCUUUCUUUGGAUGGGUCCUAUGGACAUUACAAACACACUACUUAAAGUUAUAUGUGUAUGUCUAAAGAUGUUUACUAUUUAUGGUAUAAGUGGCUUCAAUUCAAGCUUUCUGCAUUAAAAAAACAUUCACAAGAGUGUUUGAUAAUUUCAGGAAUCCGCUUUAUAUAACACAGACAGCGACGUAGACAUAUUAUACAGGUGUUAAGUAAGUAUUUCAGUCUUUUUAAUUCAGCACAAGUGAGAAAACCACAUUUCCUCCUCUUCACUGGGACAGGAAGUAGGUUUUUUUCUUAGGGAGCGGGGCUUGUUUCUGCGAGAGCUCGGCUGUGACAGUGUUGUGUUUCCUCGCUCCUUCUUUUGACGGAUUCUUUCGUUUGAGAACGUUUUGUUUUAUCUCAGUCGUUAGAGAGAUGAUAGAAACAACUUCUAAACACAAACGCUGCGUAAUUAGAAAGUUUAACGAGGAUAUUAAGACGACUUUAAAGAAGAAGGACCGUGUUUGGUUUCGGAGAGAAGCUUCAUGAACAGGCGUCGAGCAGACACCGCCCUCUCCCUCCGCCUUUUCUCUGACGUCGAAAUAGGAGGACUUUUUAAAACUGUCCAUGAUGUCGAUGGUGUCUGUUCAGAAACAGACACGAAAAACAGCUGCAUACAACUGGCCUCAUCGCUGAACUCAACUCUUAAACUAGUUGUCUGUUCACAGUGAGAGCGGGGCUGACUGAGUUUGCACAAAGGGGAGGACAUUGGCUGAUAUCGUAACUAUGAUGUGAAUGUGUGUUGUUAUGUGUUCUUACAGAGUAACCCGGCAUUACAGUUGUAGCAAUGGGAAUUUUAUAGAGAAAACAAAAUGAAACACCAGUGUGAAGAAAAAAUCAGGUUCUCGCUUUAACUCACCUGCAGACACGAUCGAGAACAGACAAGUAGCCAGCAGAAUCCAGCAGACUGAUGUUACAUCCAUUACUAGUUUUGUGGGUCCUGAUCAGAUCAGAGUGGUACAAAAGUUGGUGUGAAAAGUUGCCGACCAAUCGUGAAUAUUUGCUGGAGAAUGAUCGCUAACGCUCCAGUUACACAGGGCAGCAGAUCGAUGAGAGACCCUCUGACAGCAACCGAAAAAUGUGUUCCUCACCGGGAUGGUGAAACCUGUGCUCUGCUGCUGUUGGGACAAUUAGUUGUUAGUCAAUUGCGUCUAAGUUGAGGAGAGAUUGUGGAAGUAAAACUGUCAGUUCUUCAAAGUAAAGUUUCGUCUCGUGCAACAUACUGAUUGCAAUGGUGAAGCAAAACUUUUAAUUUGAAGGAUCUUCAAGGAUUCCCGCUGACUUUGUGUGUUAGUGUUCGUGUUGGUCUUUCAUCUGUGACACUGAGCAGCUUGUCGUCAUUGAUCCUGCUGGAAGGAGGAGCUUUUCUCCUGUAUGACAACACGUUGAUGUCGCUCAAUAAAAUAUUUCAUAUAAUAUUCCUGUAAAUAAUAAUCACCCCAGUAUUUAUGAGCACAAUCACUGUCCCAUCAUUUUAAAACACUGCCUGUUUUAACUUAAACAUAUCAUCUGCUUAUGGAUUUAUUUAAACACUGACUGAAAUCAUACUGGCAGAGUUUUUGACAUUAAUAGACCUCGAUUACCCUAACACACAUUAAUCAAAAAACACAUUAGAUGACUAAAUAAAUAAAGCACAAAAAAAUCAAAUGAGGGUGUCUGACACUGUUGCAGUAAAAAGGGGGAGAAACACAAACUAACUCAGAGACACAGACUGAUGCGACACAACCAGUAAGUAGGUGUACAGCGUACACUGUAGUGUAUAGCACACAGGAGUAUUAGCUUAUUACGUACACGUUGGAGAGCUGUCUUGUGGCAACUGACAAACUGAAACAAACCAACGUGCUGUGUGUGCAACAGCGCGACAAACAGUACAGAAGCUGAAGCUGCAUUCACUUACACUCGGAUAUCUGAGCUGCACUGUGAAAACAUAAUGGUUUCCUGAAGGCAACAUGAAAAAUGGACCAUCUUGAGCCUGCAGCGGUCUGCUGUCACUCAUGAUUCCCCGCCCCUCUGUGUGUAGCCACGCCCACCACGCCAAAACAGGGCCAAAAGUCUGUAACUGAAAAAUAGAGAUCUGAAAGUGAAAAAAAAAAAAUUGAAGCUGAGAGAAAAAUCCGAAUCUGAAGAAUUUUUUUUUGUACAUUAAUUUAAAAGAUCUGAAUCUGAAAAUUUUAAAUCCAACUCUUUCUUUUUCAAAGUUCACUCUAAAAAUGUGACUUUUGCUUUCAGUUUACAUAUUUUCGAUUUCAAAUUUUUUUUUAACUAAACAAACAUUAUGGCCCUGAUUUAACUCCAUACCUUGAAAGGAAACCGAAAAAAAUAUUGUAACUGAAAUAAAUGUACUGAGAAAUCUUGUGUUGAAGCCGAAAAAAAAUUAAUUGAAACUAUUUUUUUCUUUUCAGUUACAAUUUUUUUUCAGUUUCAAUCCAUUUUUUUUGUUUCAAUCCAUUUAAGUUAAGCUUAAGCUUAGGUUAAAAUGUUACAUUUUUCCUCAAUUUUUUUUUUUUUUAGCAUUUUUUACUGAGUUUGUUACAAAUAUUCAGGUUAAAAACUGUCCGAAUUAUUUUUAAUGAGUUAUGUUCACAAAGUCACAUGUGCAGUACUCUGUACAGCUUGCAUCCUUUAGGACAAAUAAUUUGAAACAUUAAUAUUUCUUGUUCAAUACCACUGCUGAUAACACCUCCGUAUGUUGUGACCAGGAUGCAGCAGCAGACUGAACCUUGACUGAAACCUGCUCCAUCAUCUCAUCUUUGCAGAUGUCCAUUUAUAAAGCAAACAACUCAAAGGAGCCGUCCUCAGAUUCAGACCUCAGCACCAUCCAGUGACAGCAGACAGAUCAUCCUAUAUCUUCAAUCUUUGUAGUUACUCCAAAAUUAACUGAAGAAAACAGUACAAAGGUUAAAGUACCACAUGUGCUGUCAGUGAAAGCUGCAGCUGUUUUAUUGAUAAAGUUAAAGACAAAAAGUCAAAAGGAUUAAUCACCCAUGUAACUGUGUCACUAUACAUCAGCAUUAACAGGACCUCAGUUUGGUGUUUCAGGAAACUGCUGAUCUCAGACCUGCACAACUUCUGUUUUAAACACUGAAUAUACUCAGCUACAUGAAGAGCAUGUGAUGUUUUCUUUGACACAAUUAAAUAAAACCUGAUUAAAGUCAAAGGUCGUCACUUGUAUUUGAACUAAAAACUUGUGAUCUGGAAUUCUUUCACUGUUUUAUGACAAUAGUGUGUUAUUUACCAUAAAGUGAUUCAGAGUCAUUCAUACCAGAGUAACCAGAGAGCACAACAUAUAUUUAACUUUCUACAGGACUUAAAGAUAUUAUAUUAUGUAAAAGUCCAGACCCUCUGAGGAUUAUCUGAGUACUUCUAACAUUACACAAGCAAAGGUCUCCAUCAGUGUUCAUGAAAUGCUGGGUUUAUCCUUCUUGUGAGGGAGCUGCUGGUGAAGAUCACGAGCCCUGCUUGAUCCCGGCGAUGAGUCAGUCUUCCUGGUGUUUCUUAAAUGAUGUCUCUCACAGUGGGUCAACAGAACAUCUGGCACAGGACAGCU